CCAAAUGCAAAAGGCCCUCCACACGUCCUUGUGAGCCAACAAAUGAAGGACUCAGGAAUGAAGGAGAAAUGAACGAGCAAAUGAAAAACCCAUCAAGCAGGGGCUGGGAAGCCGGGGAUGCCCCCAGCUGAAGGCCACACCCGUUUCUCACUCCUUUUCUGGCCAUGAGUGUCCCAGGCCUCUUCUCACCAUCUCUGUGGAGGUCACCCUGUGUGUCCUGCCGGAGACCUUGUAAACAUACUUAGUUUAGUAAUUCGCAGCCAUUUCAAUGAUAAAAAUACCUUUUCUGCGGCCAGGGCACCCGAAUGUGAGCCAGAACAGAAAGCUUGCUUUCCCCGCAGAAAGCUUGGCCCUGCACUGCUCCUGGGAGCCGGUUCCUGGGGGCUUCAGCUGCGGUGACGGAGGUGUGGGGCUCAGGACUUGAGAUCCACAGGCCCCCGUUCUCAGAGCCCGCCUGGCCAGCUGAGCUCACAUUUGGGUGAAGCUCUGGAGUUAAAGCCCAGCUGAGUGACUCAGCUCUCAGCACCCUGCAGCCAGUGUCACCAUCGUCCCUGGGGGCCACUGCCCCCACACAGGCUUUGGUGCCUGGGUCUCACCCUGGCCCGGGAGCAGGCCCUGGGAGUGGGGUGGCCCCUGAGCUGAGCCUGAGUGCCCAAGACAAGCAGGGCUCACAGUGACCUAGGGGAUGGCAGAAGCCGCCCCUCCCACCCCCUAGGCUCUGUCCCUGCUGUGCGUUUCACCUUCACACAGGCCUGGCCCUGUCUGCAAAAGGGGGAAGGCCCAGCAGUGGUUCUGCGUGACCAACCACGACCCCGGGGACCCGCACUGCCCUGUCCUGUGCUCUGGAUACCGAGCCCAGUGCCACACACGGCUCCAGGCCGAGCCUCCAGCUCUGAUUCCAACAUCCGGAUGCCCACCUUUGGGCCUCCCGCCACGCCCCAGGUCCACAAGCAUGAUUUGCACACAGUCCCCUGAAGCCACAUUGCCUGGGCCCUGUCCCUGUUAGGGGCGUUUUCCUAGUUCACCCCUGAGGUCCUCAGCUCCUCCUGGCUUGGGCUCCCCGAGGCCUGGACCUGGGAACCUGGGGGGUGGUGAGCGAGAGGGACCCACUGCCCUGCACCCCCUGCCGGGUGGGGGACCCACACCAGAUGCAGGACAAGGCCCAUCUCACUCACAUCCCUGGUCACCGAAGCCCGCAAGGGGACCAGGGACGAUGCCACCUGGAAGGAUAAAGACGUAAGGACCAGGACAUGCCUUGUGUCCAGGGCAGUGACUUGGCCAGCAGGAUGGCGCUGGGCACGAGGACCUAAGCCUGGCCAGCCCCUCCUGGGGGAAAGCAAGCCUCAGGCAGGGUGUUGGAGCAGGCCUGGGUAGCCAGCAGCACCUCUGUUCCACAGGGGGCUUCCCAGGACCCCAGGCAGCUGCUGCGGCCAGGGAGGUCCUAGCCAUGCUGCAGGUAGGAAGACAGGCUCGGGGGCGAUGGGUCUACCCGGUGCAGACGCCGGGACACUGUGGUGUGGCAGCCUGAGCGACCCCAAAGCCCGGUCCCAGGAUAGUGCGGCCUGCUUGGAGACCCUUGUCUGCCACCAAGCGUUCAGGCGCGGCUUUGGACCUCCCAUCCCAGUGAGAUGGCAUCCAACACUCACUUCCUGGUCAGUGUAGACGGAGGUGGAGGGAGGGCUGCCCCCCUGAGGAUUUGGGGCAGGUUCUGAACUGACCAGGCCAAGCUGACCUGGGCUGAGAACCAGGCUGGGUGUGAAGAGAUGCUCUGGGCCAGUGGUACCCUCUCCUGCCUGGGACCUUCCCCAGUGCCCCCAUCCUCAUGGGUGGGCCCUGUCCAUCCCCAUUUCUUGAGAGCUCCAGACUGUCACACCUUGACAGCGGGGAGGGUAGGGCUUCCUGUCCCUCUGGAGUCUCUCCAGCCAUAGGAGCACGCUGGCAGCCAUGGGCUUCCAGCACCUGCAGGGCCACGGCGGGGCCCUCGGAGCUCCUCCCAGGGGGUGAGUUCUGCUGAGUUCCUCCUGCGCCUGGCCAGGAACGGGGUAGGGAAUUCCCUGUGCUUGGGACUUCCAGGGUCCAGGGCAAGGCAGGGAACAGGAACUUGGGGGUUGGGUUGAAUGCUGGGGAGCUGAGGGCUGAGUGCAGGGGGGCUGCUGGCUGAGUGCUGGGGGCUGCUGGCUGAGUGUUGAGGGCUGCUAGCUGGGGGGCUGAUGGCCAAGCUUCGUGAUUUCCUGGUCAGCCUGCUCAGGCUGCGGAGGGGAGUGGGAGGAAGAGAGCCAAACCCACGCCUGGCUGCUCUGGGGGUCUUGGGCAGCCUCUAGCCCAGGAGAGAAGACAAGGCAGUCACUCAAGGCGCUGAAAACAACGGCCUCCUUUACUGUUAAAAUGCAGCCACAGGUGCUUAGCCGUGGGCAUCUCAACCACCAGCCUCUGUGGGGGGCAGGUGGGCGUCCC
rnacentral:lncRNA from 10 species